AUUGAACGCUGGCGGCAGGCCUAACACAUGCAAGUCGAACGAGUGGCGGACGGGUGCGUAAUGUCUGGGAAACUGCCUGUUGGAGGGGGAUAACUACUGGAAACGGUAGCUAAUACCGCAUACCAUCAGAUGUGCCCAGAUGGGAUUAGCUAGUAGGUGGGGUAACGGCUCACCUAGGCGACGAUCCCUAGCCGGUCUGAGAGGAUGACCAGCCACACUGGAACUGAGACACGGUCCAGACUCCUACGGGAGGCAGCAGUGGGGAAUAUUGCACAAUGGGCGCAAGCCUGAUGCAGCCAUGCCGCGUGUGUGAAGAAGGCCUUCGGGUUGUAAAGUACUUUCAGCGGGGAGGCGUUACCCGCAGAAGAAGCACCGGCUAACUCCGUGCCAGCAGCCGCGGUAAUUC
rnacentral:rRNA from 1 species